UAAGCGUCCGCUACCCUCCCACCACCCUUACCUCCCGCCCUACCCGCAGUACCACUCACCCUCGCCACCGCCCCCACCCCCCGAGGACGUGACCUUACACUAUCAUCCCCGCCGCGGCCACUAUUCCUCCAACCGACUAUGGAGAAUAGUGACGCACACACGCACUAUAGCGGAAUAUGCAAAAAGAUGAAAACUAGAUAGCAACAGAGUAAACCUCACACGGAAUGCUAGCUAGAAUACGUAAAAAGGUGUAAAGAGUAAACAAGAGAGCGAGAGGUACCAAUUCCCGGUGAAAAAACCUGAAAGUAGGCUUUGAUGCGCCCGAGGUCAACUGCUACCAACUCUUGCACGUCCCGGCCGGUGUUGCUUAGCUCUUC
rnacentral:lncRNA from 1 species